GACUUACUCCCUCCGUUCGGAAUUACUUGUCGCAAAAAUGGAUGUAUCUAGAUGUAUUUUAGUUCUAGAUACAUCCAUUUCCGAGACAAGUAAUUCCGAAUGGAGGUAGUACUUG
rfam:Triticum aestivum genome assembly, contig: Triticum_aestivum_CS42_TGACv1_scaffold_407786_5BL